rnacentral:rRNA from 1 species
GAACGAACGCUGGCGGCAGGCUUAACACAUGCAAGUCGAACGCCCCGCAAGGGGAGUGGCAGACGGGUGAGUAACGCGUGGGAACAUACCCUUUUCUACGGAAUAGCUCUGGGAAACUGGAAUUAAUACCGUAUACGCCCUACGGGGGAAAGAUUUAUCGGGGAAGGAUUGGCCCGCGUUGGAUUAGCUAGUUGGUGGGGUAAAGGCCUACCAAGGCGACGAUCCAUAGCUGGUCUGAGAGGAUGAUCAGCCACAUUGGGACUGAGACACGGCCCAAACUCCUACGGGAGGCAGCAGUGGGGAAUAUUGGACAAUGGGCGCAAGCCUGAUCCAGCCAUGCCGCGUGAGUGAUGAAGGCCUUAGGGUUGUAAAGCUCUUUCACCGAUGAAGAUAAUGACGGUAGUCGGAGAAGAAGCCCCGGCUAACUUC